UACGGGGGGGGCAAGCGUUGUUCGGAAUUACUGGGCGUAAAGGGCGCGUAGGCGGGUGGACAAGUCUCUCGUGAAAGCCCCCGGCUCAACCGUGGAAUUGCGGGAGAUACUGUCUGUCUUGAGUCCGGGAGAGGAGGGUGGAAUUCCCAGUGUAGCGGUGAAAUGCGUAGAUAUUGGGAGGAACCCCGGGGGCGAAGGCGGCCCUCUGGACCGGUACUGACGCUGAGGCGCGAAAGCUAGGGGAGCAAACGGG
rnacentral:rRNA from 1 species